GAGGAGGGAGAGGGAGAGAGAGACAGCAUUCUAUGACAUUCCUUAAAGCCGAAGACUUCCUCUGCGCUUCUUGACCGAUGCUGAGAGACUCUUGUGUCGAGUCUGGCUGGAAAAUGCAUUUGGGAAAUAUCACUGCCUUACAAAUAUGCUACAAAUACAACACCCUCCGUCUCCAAUAACCAUCCACAUUCUGUCGGUUACCACUGACCAGAAACUCAGCUGGGAAUCCUGCAGCGAGUGACUCCUGACUCCCCAAAGCCUGUCCACCAUCAAUGAGGCACAAAGUCAGGAGUGUGCGGGAAUACUCCCCCACAUGUCCCUGGAUGGGGGCAGCUCCGGCAAUACUCGAGAAGCUCGACACCGUCCAGGCACAAAGCAACCCCCCCGCUUCGUUACAUCAACAAACAUCCCCUCCCUCCAACACCGACGCUUAGUAGCAGCAGUGUGUACCGUCUACAGGAAUUCACCAAAGACCCUCAGACAGCACCUUCCAAACCCAUGACCACUUCCAUCGAGAAGGACAAGGGGCAGCAGAUACAUAGGAACGCCAACCCCUGCAGGCUCCCGGCCGAGCCCCUCACCAGAAGAGACGCAGAAAAGGUUUGACAAGACAUUUCUGUGCCGUACGACUGAAAAUAAACACGAUUUGUGCUUC